rnacentral:rRNA from 1 species
UACAGAGGGGGCCAGCGUUAUUCGGAAUUAUUGGGCGUAAAGGGCGCGUAGGCGGCUUUGCGUGUCUUUCGUGAAAUCCCUCGGCUCAACUGAGGACGUGCGGAAGAAACUGCAGGGCUGGAGUCCGGGAGAGGAGGGUGGAAUUCCCGGUGUAGCGGUGAAAUGCGUAGAUAUCGUUUGGAACGCCAAUGGUGAAAACAGGUCGCUGGGGAUGCGCUGACGCUGAGACACGAAAGCCAGGGGAGCAAACGGG